rnacentral:rRNA from 1 species
GACGAACGCUGGCGGCGUGCUUAACACAUGCAAGUCGAACGGAAAGGCCCUGCUUUUGCGGGGUGCUCGAGUGGCGAACGGGUGAGUAACACGUGAGUAACCUGCCCUUGACUGUGGGAUAACUUCAGGCAACUGGGGCUAAUACCGGCUAGGAGCUCCUGCUGCAGGGGGGGGGUUGGAAAGUUUCGGCGGUUGUAGAUGGACUCGGGGCUUAUUAGCUUGUUGGUGGGGUAGCUGCUUACCAAGGCUUUGACGGGUAGGCGGCCUGGGAGGGUGACCGGCCACCAGGGGACUGAGGUACGGACCAGACUGGUACGGGAGGCAGCAGGGGGAAGUCUGGCACAAUGGGGGGAAGCCUGUGGCGGCAACGCUGCGUGCGGGAUGAAGGCCUUCGGGUGGGGAACCGCUUUCGCCUGUGACGAAGCGGGAUUGACGGUAAUGGGUAAAGAAGCACCGGCUAACUACGUG